CACGAUAGGGUUGAUUAUGUUUUGCUUAAAACUAUAAUAAAUAAACCCACUACUAGUCGAGACGAGAAGAACAACAAAACAAUGACAAAAAAGACAACAACACAAUCGUUUCAUCUUCUAAGCUUGGUUCAUAUACUUUUAUGUGUUACUUUACAAGUUGGUGUGAUAGAGGCUAGAUUCCGUCACCUAGGUGUUACGAAAUGGACACCAACGAUAGUCGUAGGACCUUCCCCACCGUGCGGAGCUCCUCCUAGGAGAUCAGGUGCUCCUCCGUAUAAGAAUCGAAGACCAGAACCUUGUAGGCGCGUUCCUCCAAGACCUCCUCGUCAACCUUAACUCGUGCAUGCCCUCGCUUCAAGAAUUAGCAACAUUGAUGAACUUAUAAAUUCGAUUCCACAAAGAAUUUUUCCACUACGGAUAUAAUGUAAUUUCAAUCUCUUUUUAAAAAAUCAUGUUCAUGGUAAAAAAAUGAAUAAUGAUGAUAGUAACGAUAAUAACGAUAAUGCAUUAUAGGCCGUUACAUGCUUACAGUGUUCUAAAUACGGUUUAUCCGGUGCCUAUGCAAUAAAAUAUGUUUUCGAUUAAACAA